GACGAACGCUGGCGGCGUGCUUAACACAUGCAAGUCGAGCGGUAAGGCCCUUUCGGGGGUACACGAGCGGCGAACGGGUGAGUAACACGUGGGUGACCUGCCUUUAGCUCUGGGAUAAGCCUGGGAAACCGGGUCUAAUACCGGAUAUGACUCCGCGGCGCAUGUUGUGGGGUGGAAAGCCUUGUGCGGCUGGAGAUGGGCCCGCGGCCUAUCAGCUUGUUGGUGGGGUGAUGGCCUACCAAGGCGACGACGGGUAGCCGGCCUGAGAGGGCGACCGGCCACACUGGGACUGAGACACGGCCCAGACUCCUACGGGAGGCAGCAGUGGGGAAUCUUGCGCAAUGGGCGAAAGCCUGACGCAGCGACGCCGCGUGAGGGAUGACGGCCUU
rnacentral:rRNA from 1 species